rnacentral:lncRNA from 1 species
GAUCCGUUCAGGUUGAUCCCAGCAUACUAUGGGGGCUGACCCCUAAGGGAGCCGAGCCUAGUGGAUUCGUGGGAGUUCCAGCCCGCGGGGUGCACAGGUUGUUGCCAUGAGCAAGGAUCCCCAUGUGAGAAGAGCGUUUCCCUCUCGGAGCGUCAGUAUAAUUUACUUUUUCUCUCCAUGGAGAAUGCAAAUGAGCAGAACUUUUAAAGAAGAAAGAAGAAUUUAAAGUAAAAUUAUGUCAACAUGUAGGUGCUUUAACUCCUUUGUCUCAGACCCCAGCGAUAGGCUUCCACUUCUCUGUGCUAUUUGAAGGGGACUUAGGAUAAAUUUGAAAAGCUUGAACUAAAGAAUUGGUUGGUUAUAUACUAGGAGAGGAAGUGUGGUUCACAUUGGAGAUUUCAGAAUCAAAUGUCCUGGAUUCUUCGAGACAAUGUUCCUGUUAUCUGGAGAGAAAAACGUGAUUCAGGACGACAUGGAAACGGAUAAAAAUACACAGAUAAUUACUUGCCUUAUCUUGAAGGAUGAAUAAUUAACACUUUGUUAAAAUAGUAUAAACAAAUGCAAAAAAGGGCUUGCUUUUCCUAGGAAGAGCCUGAUUUCACUGUUGUAGUCUAACAAUAUUUAACUUUCAAAAUCAUUUUUCUAGUUUCCUAUGCUACAUAAGGAGGAAACAUGUAAUAAUAAAGAGCAAAACGUCUUUUCAUUCCAGAAUUGUGACAGAAAACAAAUAAGAUGAUUAACUCAACCAUAUCAAUAAUCACAUUAAAUGUAAAUGGUCUAAACACCUUAAUUUAAAAAGAUUGUCAGAUUGGAUUUUUUAAAAAGUCAGACCCAAAUGUGCAUCAAUGAUAGACUGGAUUAAGAAAAUGUGGCACAUAUACACCAUGGAAUACUAUGCAGCCAUAAAAAGGAUGAGUUCAUGUCGUUUGUAGGGACAUGGAUGAAGCUGGAAACCAUCAUUCUGAGCAAACUAUCGCAAGGACAGAAAACCAAACACCAAAUGUUCUCAGUCAUAGGUGAGAAUUGAACAAUGAGAACACUUGGACACAGGGUGGAGAACAUCACACACCGGGGCCUAUAGUGGGGUCGGGGGAGGGGGAAGGGAUAGCAUUAGAAGAUAUACCUAAUGUAAAUGACGAGUUAAUGGGUGCAGCACACCAACAUGGCACAUGUAUACAUAUGUAACAAACCUGCACUUUGUGCACAUGUACCCUAGAACUUAAAGUAUAAUAAAAAAAGAUAAUUAAAUAAAUAAAUAAACAAAAAGUCAGACCCAAAUGGGUGCUACCUACAGGUAAUAUGUUAAAUGAAAAGCACUAAAAGGUUAAGAGUAAAAGGAUGGAAAAAUAUACACCAUCCUAACACUAGUCAAAAGAAAGCUGGAGUGGCUUUAUUAAAAACAAAGUAGACUCCGGACAUAGACUAUUACCAGAGAUAAAGAAGGGCAUAAUAAUGAUAAAGGAGAUAGCUCAUCGAGUAGAAAAAAACAAACAUAAAUUUUGCUCCUAAAAGCAAAGCUUCUAAGUAUGGGAAGAAAAAUCUAUUAGAUCGAAAAGGAGACAGAUCCACAAUUAUAGUCAGAUAUUUCAAUAUAUCUCUCUUGGUAAUUGAUAGAACAAACACAGAAAAGCAACAGGGUAUAGCAGAUUUGAGCUACAUAUCAACUUACUUGAUCUCAUUUAUAUUUGAGAACACUCUCCUCAAUGACAGUAAAAUUCAUCUAUGUGGACAGGGGAUACUUACCAGUAUAGGCCAUAUUCUGGGCCAUAAAACAAGUCUCAAUAAAUGUAAGAGGAUUCGAGUCAUACAAAGCAUAUUCUUUGACAAAAAUGGAAUUAAAUUAGAACUCAAUAAUAGCUGAAUAUAUAAUAUAUUGUCCAAAGUAGUACAAAUUCGAAAAGGUAUGAAUACUAAGGUAAUUGAAAUUAUGUAAUGUUUGAAAAAUUCCUGUAUUAAUUAUAAUAUUCUGUUAUAUCCUAAAGGGUGAAACAAUAACAUAUAUACGUUAAAGCAAAAUAACAAUUUUGUAGUAAGGAAAAAAAUUUUUAAGCUAUUUAUGUUGACUAAACAUUAGAAUAAAGCGGAGAAUAAUUAUAUUUAAGUAUAUUCUGAUACUUUAAUCGAUUUCCUAACCAAUAUCACCAUUCUUUUUAAGUAUUUUCUUUCAAUGUGGUCUAUUAUUUUUAAAUUUUGAUAAAAUUUUAUGCAAUCUUCAAUGUUGGACUUUAUGUUUAAUAAACUCAAAAUUAUAGCUA